UUCCUGUCCAAGUCCAUCCUUUGGUUUAUCUUAGUUGGCGUGAGAGGUGCAAAUGCGAGGAUAGACUAUGCUAUAGUUCUUCAAUUUCUUCUUGUUAAAAGAAAUAGUCUACCUGACUGCCAUUCCGCUUCGACUAAAUCUGUUAUUAUAAUAUAUUUUUCCAUGAAAUAUGGUCUCAUUGUUGCUUCUUGAGUAAAUCUUUCUGCGAAAUCAAGAAUUUCAGCAGAGAGUAAUAGCCGUCCGGGACACAAAAAUUUGAAGUAUAGGGCAAGCAUUCUAAUUGUUCACACAUGAAGUAAUACUCUUGCAAGAGCUACACACUAAGUACUUUAAUUAUAAUCUUUUACGCUCAGGAAAAAGAUUCAACCUACAAAUCUUGAAAGCAUUUUUUGAAAUGUUUUUGCUGAGUACCUUAGAAAUCCCAUAGAAAAGGCUAAUAAGCAAAAUUUCCUGCUUAGUUAUAGUUCUGUGAUUCAUUGCUAAUAAUCGUGCUUCUAUACGGCCCUUGAAGGAUUUCCAGGUGCUGUUCGAUGGAAUGCUCAGUGGGAUGUGUGAAUUUUAUGGUCAGAUUUUCCUGCCAGGUUGAAUAGCUGAUGCAGUGCAUUGAGUGUUUUCCAUCUACCAGAUUUUUCCUAAUUGUUAUGUAGGCUUGUGGAUGUUUUGGUCGAGCUUGUGCUUGGAUUAUAAAUGUGACGUUUUUAGCUCUGUGAAAGUAAAGAUGCCUCGAUAUAAUUUGUGCCCAUAAUACAUGUUUUUUAAUGAUAAGAUGUAUCACAUAUGCUGCAGGUUUUGUAUGAAUUUCCAUUCCGACCUUUCUUGAUCUCAACUGCUCUUAAUUUGUUUUAUUGUUCCACCAAUUUUGUUUGUGCAAAAUCUACCAGCCCAAAAUUUUCUUUUGCUUUUGUUAAACCAUUGGCUCCUAGAAUGUUUGUUUAUAUAAGAUGAUUCUGAGGGAAAGAGUUCUAUCUAUUCUGUGGAGCGGAAUAGAUGUUUCUGUUGAGUUUGGAUUUGCUAUGAAGAAGAUUUACUUUUGCCUGAUCUACGACUUGGAAGAAAUACAAACUUGAACUUUCCUACGAAAGCAUAUGGGAGAUCCUAUUUCAUCGUCCACCUCGGAUGCCAAAACAGUUCCUUCUGAUGCAGGCUGGGUCAGCCGUGCCAAUGUGCGAGAAGCAUUCGCCAAUCGCCGCGUGUUUGAUGUACAGGACGUGGGAAAACCCUGGAUGCCAAUCCCCUCUUGUCUGUGGUGAAGAUGGUUGAACCAGAGCAGAUCAGUUGUUGCAUAUUUUUAUACCACUCGAUCCAUAUGUUUCAUCAUCUGCGGAACACCAGAGAAGGGAUAUGUUGUUGUACAUGAGGUAUUAAUAAAGUUUCGCGUUCUUUGUUCUGGUGGAUUUGGUGCGUUGGGUUGCCAUGUAUGCUGAAUAUAUUUUCCUUAGAUUGCUCUUGUGUUUUUGGUGCAAAUUGAUCACAGAGGGCCUAGGAGGGUAAUUCUAACAAGUGAUGCUCUAAUAUUCACUUAUUCAGUUGCGUUCUGGAAUGACCUCUUUCUGCUUCCUCUUGUAAGCUUUCGUUUAUUUCGUUUGUCUGCUGUUUUCUUCCUUCUGUAUUUUUUUUCCUUUCUUUGGUGCUGGCGGCCAAAUUUAGAGGCUAAUUUGUUUCCUUUCAAGGAGGAAGUAAUAUAUGAGUUUUCUUUUCACUUCCUUGCUUUUGCUUAAAUACAAUCGCUUGUUUAUCGACAAAGGAAUCAG